UACGGAGGAUGCGAGCGUUAUCCGGAUUUAUUGGGUUUAAAGGGUGCGUAGGCGGCUUAGUAAGUCAGCGGUGAAAUUUUGCAGCUUAACUGUAACAGUGCCGUUGAUACUGCCAGGCUAGGAUUUGGUUGCUGUGGGUGGAAUGUGUGGUGUAGCGGUGAAAUGCUUAGAUAUCACACAGAAUAUCGAUUGCGAAGGCAGCUCACAAAGCCAAGAUUGACGCUGAGGAACGAAAGUGUGGGGAUCAAACAGGAUUA
rnacentral:rRNA from 1 species